CUCAUCCACUUAAACGGGUGCUGGCUCCGUAUAACAAGCGAAACCGUGUGGUUUUGAUUUCACGGGCGGUUUCGGGUGUUGUUGAUGGAUGGACUCGCGGUGCAUUAGCUAGUUGGUGAGGUAACGGCUCACCAAGGCCGCGGUGUGUACAAGGCCCGGGAGGGUGAUUGGCCGCGUUGGGACUGAGCCGCGGCCCAAACUCCUACGGGCGAUUCCGGUAGGGAAUCUUCGGCAAUGGAGGCAAGUUUGACCGUGCAACGCCGCGUGAGUGAAGAAGGUUUUCGGAUCGUAAAAGUCUGUUGUUAGAGUAGCCUCAGGAUGAGAGUGACUGUUCAACUCUUGACGGUAUCUCACCAGAAAGCCACGGUUAACUACGUGUCAGUAGCCGCGGUAAUACGUAGGUGGCAAGCGAUGUCCGGAUUUAUUUGACGUAAACCCCGCCCAGGCGGUUUCUUCGGUUUGUUGUGAAAGUCCCCGGCUCAACCGGGGAGGGUCAUUGGCAACUGGGUGACUUGAGUGCAGAAAAGGAGAGUGGAAUUCCAUGUGUUGCGGUGACUUAAGUAGACAUCUGGCGGAACACCAGUGACGACGGCGGCUCUCUGGUCUGUACCUGUCGCUGAGGCUCGAAAGCGUGGGGAGCAAACAGGAUUCGAUACCCUAGUAGUGCACGCCGUAAAGGAUGAGUGCUAAGUGUUGGAGGGUUUCCGCCCUUCAGUGCUGCAGCUAACGCAUUAAGCACUCCGCCUGGGGCGUACGCCCGUCAGGUUGAAACUCAAAGGAAUUUGCGGGCGUACUCCCCAGCGGUGGAGCAUGUGGUUUAAUUCGAAGCAACGCGAAGAACCUUACCCGGUCUUGACCUCCUUUUACCACUUUAGAGAUGGAGCUUCUCCUUCGGGGGCAAAGUGACAGGUGGUGCAUGGUUGUCGUCAGCUCGUGUCGUGAGAUGUUGGGUUAAGUCUCGCAACGAGCGCAAUCCUUAUUGUUUGUUCCCAUCAUUCAGUCGAGCACUCUAGCAAGACUGCCAGUUACAAACCGGAGGAAGGUGGGGAUGCCGCCAAAUCAUUAUGCCCCUGAUGACCUGGGCUCCAUAUAUGCUACAAUGGGAAGUACUACGCAUUGCGAAGUCACGAGGCUAAGCUAAUCACAUGAAGCUCCACUCAGUUCGGAUUGCAGGCUGCAACUCUUCUGCACUCAGUCGGAAUCCCAGUUAUCGCCGAUGACCUCGCCGGUGAGUACGUUCCCGGGGCUUGUACACAUCGACCGUCACACCACGAGAGUUUAGAACGCCUGCGCUCGCUUACGCCAUUAAUCCGGCCGCCUAAGAUG
rnacentral:rRNA from 1 species